UACGUAGGGUGCGAGCGUUGUCCGGAAUUAUUGGGCGUAAAGGGCUCGUAGGCGGUUUGUCGCGUCGGGAGUGAAAACCUUGGGCUUAACUCAGGGCUUGCUUUCGAUACGGGCAGACUAGAGGUAUGCAGGGGAGAACGGAAUUCCUGGUGUAGCGGUGAAAUGCGCAGAUAUCAGGAGGAACACCGGUGGCGAAGGCGGUUCUCUGGGCAUGAUCUGACGCUGAGGCACGAAAGCGUGGGGAUCAAACAGG
rnacentral:rRNA from 1 species